AGAGUUUGAUCCUGGCUCAGAUUGAACGCUGGCGGCAGGCUUAACACAUGCAAGUCGAGCGGAGAUGAGGUGCUUGCACCUUAUCUUAGCGGCGGACGGGUGAGUAAUGCUUAGGAAUCUGCCUAUUAGUGGGGGACAACAUUCCGAAAGGAAUGCUAAUACCGCAUACGUCCUACGGGAGAAAGCAGGGGAUCUUCGGACCUUGCGCUAAUAGAUGAGCCUAAGUCGGAUUAGCUAGUUGGUGGGGUAAAGGCCUACCAAGGCGACGAUCUGUAGCGGGUCUGAGAGGAUGAUCCGCCACACUGGGACUGAGACACGGCCCAGACUCCUACGGGAGGCAGCAGUGGGGAAUAUUGGACAAUGGGGGGAACCCUGAUCCAGCCAUGCCGCGUGUGUGAAGAAGGCCUUAUGGUUGUAAAGCACUUUAAGCGAGGAGGAGGCUACUGAGACUAAUACUCUUGGAUAGUGGACGUUACUCGCAGAAUAAGCACCGGCUAACUCUGUGCCAGCAGCCGCGGUAAUACAGAGGGUGCGAGCGUUAAUCGGAUUUACUGGGCGUAAAGCGUGCGUAGGCGGCUUUUUAAGUCGGAUGUGAAAUCCCCGAGCUUAACUUGGGAAUUGCAUUCGAUACUGGGAAGCUAGAGUAUGGG
rnacentral:rRNA from 1 species